AGAUGUCAAUGAUGAUAAAAAAUUGGAUUUGCAACCUUCUUCUGACAUGGAUACAAAAUCAUUUGGACAAUUGUAUGCCUACAAAUCUAAAAGACAAGCAAUCAAUAUCAUUGGAGUUGUGAUUUCUAAACUACCAAGAGAAUUUAUUGUAACCAACAUGAGAUGACAACAAAAAGCUAAUGAUUUUGUGAUGGUUGAUGAAGGGCUUAAACCUAUCAUUUUCACAAUGUGGGAAAUUUUACGGUUUAUCAAGGGGUUGAAAUUGACAAAGAACUCCAAUCAGGA